rnacentral:rRNA from 1 species
CUCCGGUUGAUCCCGCCGGACCUGACUGCUAUCGGAAUGAUACUAAGCCAUGCGAGUCAUUGUAGUAAUACAAGGCAGACGGCUCAGUAACGCGUAGUCAAUCUACCCUGUGGACGGGAAUAACCUCGGGAAACUGAGAACAAUACCCGAUAGAACAUUAUGCCUGGAAUGGUUUAUGUUUCAAAUGAUUUAUCGCCAUAGGAUGGGACUGCGGCCUAUCAGUUUGUUGGUGAGGUAAUGGCCCACCAAGACUAUUACAGGUACGGGCUCUGAGAGGAGUAGCCCGGAGAUGGGUACUGAGACACGGACCCAGGCCCUAUGGGGCGCAGCAGGCGAGAAAACUUUGCAAUGUGCGAAAGCACGACAAGGUUAAUCCGAGUGGUUUCUGCUAAAGAAACCUUUUGCCAGUCCUAGAAACACUGGUGAAUAAGGGGUGGGCAAGUUCUGGCGUCAGCCGCCGCGGUAAAACCAGCACCUCAAGUGGUCAGGAUGAUUAUUGGGCCUAAAGCAUCCGUAGCUCGUUUUGUAAGUUUUCGGUUAAAUCCAUGCGCUCAACGUAUGGGCUGCCGGGAAUACUGCAUAACUAGGAAGUGGGAGAGGUAGACGGUACUCGGUAGGAAGGGGUAAAAUCCUUUGAUCUAUUGAUGACCACCUGUGGCGAAGGCGGUCUACCAGAACACGUUCGACGGUGAGGGAUGAAAGCUGGGGGAGCAAACCGGAUUAGAUACCCGGGUAGUCCCAGCUGUAAACUAUGCAAACUCAGUGAUGCAUUGGCUUGUGGCCAAUGCAGUGCUGCAGGGAAGCCGUUAAGUUUGCCGCCUGGGAAGUACGUACGCAAGUAUGAAACUUAAAGGAAUUGGCGGGGGAGCA